AAGAAUACACUGUCAGGGAUCAUCACUGCAGUUCAGUACUAGGGAAAUUUCUCUGAUCCCGCAGAGCACCCAGAACCACGAGAGGAGCCAGAGGGUCAUCUCCUGCUCAUGAAGCCUGCUCUAGGUGUUGCUCCUGCAGCUGCCUCUUACCACUGACGAUCAUUCUUCUCUUCCCCGGAGAGGGGGAGGAUGCAGUCUGAGCGGG